GAUCAUUACCGAGUUAUUCAACUCAUCAACCCUGUGAACUUACCUAAACGUUGCUUCGGCGGGAAUAGACGGCCCUGUAAAACGGGCCGCCCCCGCCAGAGGACCCUUAACUCUGUUUCUUAUAAUGUUUCUUCUGAGUAAAACAAGCAAAUAAAUUAAAACUUUCAACAACGGAUCUCUUGGCUCUGGCAUCGAUGAAGAACGCAGCGAAAUGCGAUAAGUAAUGUGAAUUGCAGAAUUCAGUGAAUCAUCGAAUCUUUGAACGCACAUUGCGCCCGCCAGUAUUCUGGCGGGCAUGCCUGUUCGAGCGUCAUUACAACCCUCAGGCCCCCGGGCCUGGCGUUGGGGAUCGGCGGAGCGCCCCUCGUGGGCGCACGCCGUCCCCCAAAUACAGUGGCGGUCCCGCCGCAGCUUCCAUCGCGUAGUAGCUAACACCUCGCGACUGGAGAGCGGCGCGGCCACGCCGUAAAACACCCCAACUCUUCUGAAGUUGACCUCGAAUCAGGUAGGAAUACCCGCUGAACCUAAGCAUAUCA
rnacentral:misc_RNA from 1 species